rnacentral:rRNA from 1 species
CACGUAGGGGGCAGAGCGUUCGUCGAUUUGAUGGCGUAAAGAGCUCGUAGGCGGCUCGGUAAGUCAGGUGUGAAACCUCCAGGCUCAACCUGGAGACGCCACCUGAUACUGCCGUGGCUAGAGUCCGGUAGAGGAGCGUAGAAUUCCUGGUGUAGCGGUGAAAUGCGCAGAUAUCAGGAGGAAUACCAGCGGCGAAGGCGGCGCUCUGGGCCGGUACUGACGCUGAGGAGCGAAAGCGUGGGGAGCAAACAGG